CAACAGGGAUUGCCUUAGUAACGGCGAGUGAAGCGGCAACAGCUCAAAUUUGAAAUCUGGCCUUCUGGUCCGAAUUGUAAUUUGUAGAGGAAGCUUUUGGUGAGGUGCCUUCCGAGUUCCCUGGAACGGGACGCCUUAGAGGGUGAGAGCCCCGUACGGUUGGACACCUAGCCUCUGUAUAGCUCCUUCGACGAGUCGAGUAGUUUGGGAAUGCUGCUCUAAAUGGGAGGUAAAUUUCUUCUAAAGCUAAAUACCGGCCAGAGACCGAUAGCGCACAAGUAGAGUGAUCGAAAGAUGAAAAGCACUUUGAAAAGAGGGUUAAAUAGCACGUGAAAUUGUUGAAAGGGAAGCUCUUAUGACCAGACUUUUUCCAGGCGGAUCAUCCGGCGUUCUCGCCGGUGCACUUCGCCUGGUUUAGGCCAACGUCGAUUUUCGUAGGGGGAUAAAGGCUUGAGGAAUGUAGCUCCUUUCGGGGAGUGUUAUAGCCUCUUGCGUAAUACCCUUACGGGGAUCGAGGUACGCGCUCUGCAAGGACGUUGGCAUAAUGGUCAUCAGUGACCCGUCUUGAAACACGGACCAAGGAGUCGAACAUUUGUGCGAGUGUUUGGGUGUUAAACCCUCACGCGUAAUGAAAGUGAACGGAGGUGAGAGCCCUUUAGGGUGCAUCAUCGACCGAUCCUGAUGUCUUCGGAUGGAUUUGAGUAAGAGCAUAACUGUUCGGACCCGAAAGAUGGUGAACUAUGCGUGGAUAGGGUGAAGCCAGAGGAAACUCUGGUGGAGGCUCGCAGCGGUUCUGACGUGCAAAUCGAUCGUCAAAUCUGCGCAUGGGGGCGAAAGACUAAUCGAACCAUUAACGAAUUACACCGGUAAACCGAAUUACUAGGUGGUUGAGAGGCCCCCCGAAAAGGGGGUGCCUAGGCCGAGCUACCCGGGACCUACCCGGGAGACAACUACCCGGUAGCUACCCGGUAGACGGCCGACACCACUAAAUUGCAGGGACUUCCCACUGAAGGCUACAGGCUACCGCCACCCGCUGAAAAGCGUGGGAGGCACCUAGAGUAACGCUCUA
rnacentral:rRNA from 1 species